CGACAGGAAGGAGCAUGCGCUGUGGGAGUUUGAGAGGUGCAAACCAUUCUUGAAGCGCAGAGGACGCGCAAGCGCACGCUUGGGCUGAAAAGCUCACUACUUACUCGGCAGAGCAUGGGGUCCAUCUCUGCAAAGCGGAAGGGAGCGCUAGUCCGAGGCCCCCCCCGCGCACCCUCUGCUGCGCCCCCGCAAGUCCCAGGCGGCGGCUCUGAUCUCCCUCCAGGCCCUAUAUGGAAUCCAGGAGUUGGAUAAAGGUCAAGCCAAAACCAGACUUGUUAAAGAUGCUAUUUGUGGUCACAGAAACAGACCUUAGGAAGUCAUCUGAGCAAAAAAUGUGAUGGGACACACACCAGAAUG